GACCUCGGCAUCGCUAGACUACGCACUGAACUUAAGCAUAUCAUUAAGUGCAGGAAAAGAAAUCAAAUGAGAUUCCCUUAGUAACGGCGAGUGAAACGGGACGAGCUCAUCGCUGAAGCCGGCAGUUGAGAGACGUGCAAUGUAGCGUUCGGGAGUACUCUUCGUCUUGCGUGCAAUGUCGGUUUAAGUCACAUGGAAAGGUGCACCUCAGAGGGUGACAGACCCGUAUGACCGAUCGAUUGAAUUACAGACGAGUGUCUCCCUCGAGUCGGGUUGUUCGC
rnacentral:rRNA from 1 species